rnacentral:lncRNA from 1 species
GAGUAGCCCUUGCUUCUAGUUCAUGGUUGACCACAGAUACCUGAAACCACAGAAAGCAAAACCAUGGAUAAGGGAGGACUACUAUACUGACUUCCAUGGGCCUGUGGUCCCACAUGUUUGGAUUGGGGACCCCUGCCGAGGUACCGAAUACCGCGAAGGUACAGAAGUCACAGGAAAAAGCCAUUUCCCCGACUCUCAUUGUGGAUCACGUGCUGUGCUGCUGAGAAUGCUAAAGCCUGUCACACCCGAAAACAGCAUUUUCUACUGGAAUUUGCAACCGGAUGUCCCAUUUGGCCCCCUUCCUGCUAAGGAAACCCCUUGCUGA